rnacentral:rRNA from 2 species
UCUGGUGGUUCUAGCGAAGCGGACCCACCCGUUCCCAUCCCGAACACGGAAGUGAAACGCUUCAGCGCUGACGAUACUGCACUGGUGACGGUGUGGGAAAAUAGGUCACUGCCGGGG